AUCAGCCAACUCUCAAGUUCAUUAAGCAUAGCAUCAAGUGAAUCCUUGCAAAUGGUCAAUUGGUCCAAAUCAUUUGGGUAAGGGGAGACUUUUUAAUCAAGUGAGUCAAGGGGUUCAAGAUAUAUGAUAUUUAAGGUGGUACACUCUCAAGACAAGUAGCGUUGACAUUGCACAUAAUAUAUCUAAGAAAUGGAUCAACUCAUGCAUACAAUGCUCAAUCUCCAUUGUUCUACCCUUUUCUCAAACAUAUAUGAUACACAUUCAUUUCCCCAUUCCAAACCCAACUCACAUCUCUCACCCAAGGACUUCAAAAGCAUUUCCCAACAUAAAACUCUCUUUUUUUUUUUUACAAGGGAUUUCUUACACUUUUUGAACACCUCUUAGCUCAUACUAAUUUUGCUAGCCCCCUUUCUUUAUUCUUUUUUUUUUUUUUUUCUAUGUUUGGGAGCCAAGACUUUUCACAAAUUGAACUAGAAGUUUCUCUACUUAUCCCAUAAAGACUAGUCAAUUAAGCAGAAGAGUUCACUCUUUUCCUUCAACUUUCUCAUACUCCCAAAUCAAACUUUACAACACUCACCCCCAUCCUAUGGCUAGACAAUAAUGUGCCAAAUCUAGCAAGAAUGAAGAUCAAGCAUUGUCGUUCCCGAUACUCUCAACAUUAUGUGCAUGUAAGACUUUUCGAAAAGGUCAUUAAUCAAUGAAGGCUUAAAAGGAGGAAGGGAUUUUGGGG
rnacentral:lncRNA from 1 species